rnacentral:misc_RNA from 1 species
UCUAUUGAUAUUCGACAUGAACUUGUUCGUGAGGAUACUGAAUUCUUCGUACUCUAUGUACACGCUGCUGCGCUCUUAAGGGCAAGGAGAUUCAUUUUUAUUGAUACUUUUAAUAUUUUUUAGUUUCUUUUACUAACUACUGUGUGCACUCACUGAAUACAUUACGUAUUAUCAUCUAGUUUCACAGUGUAAUUCCUAAAAUUAAUACAAUACUGAAAUAUUAUGUA